CAGAAAAUAGUUUAAGUAAAAUAAAAGCUUUGGGAGCUUUAGAUUUGGUAUACCAAUUUUCUGA
rnacentral:tRNA from 1 species